AGUCCGAUGGUGUAAUGGUAGCACAACUGAUUUUGGUUCAGUUAGUCUUGGUUCGAAUCCAGGUCGGACUACUA
rnacentral:tRNA from 1 species